UACGUAGGGUGCAAGCGUUGUCCGGAAUUAUUGGGCGUAAAGGGCUCGUAGGCGGUCCAUCACGUCGGGAGUGAAAAGCUGGGGCUUAACCCCAGUCCUGCUUCCGAUACGGGUGGACUAGAGGUAGGCAGGGGAGAACGGAAUUCCUGGUGUAGCGGUGAAAUGCGCAGAGAUGUGGAGGAACACCGAUGGCGAAGGCAGCCCCCUGGGCUAACACUGACGCUCAUGCACGAAAGCGUGGGGAGCAAACAGG
rnacentral:rRNA from 1 species